rnacentral:rRNA from 1 species
UACGUAGGAGGCAAGCGUUAUCCGGAAUGACUGGGCGUAAAGGGUGCGUAGGUGGUUUGACAAGUUGGUAGCGUAACUCCGGGGCUCAACCUCGGAUCUACUACCAAAACUGUCGGGCUUGAGUGCAGGAGGGGUAAAUGGAAUUCCCAGUGUAGCGGUGGAAUGCGUAGAUAUUGGGAAGAACACCAGCGGCGAAGGCGAUUUACUGGACUGUAACUGACACUGAGGCACGAAAGCGUGGGUAUCGAACAGG